UUAAUCCCUAGUCACAAUACUAAAAGCCAAAUAUGGUGCAAGGAGAAGCAUGCCACAUCCAUUAAAAUAAUCCACCAAUCAGAUGUUUUCUUUUUGACAUGUCAUUGUUUCUUCUGUCAAAAUGAAAACCAGUGGGUUCGUGUGGGCUGAAUCUAUUUGUAGUAGCCCAAAUUGACACACUAUAGAACUCGAACAUACUUCGUCUUCUCCGUUUCAGCUUCAUGAAAUUUCAGUUAUCGACCCAUCUCUUAACAAUUAAUUGUAUUCAUUACUAUCGACUUUAUGAGUUCGUUUCGCUUUGCUUUGUUUCUCCAUCUGUAUAAAACCUCCGGCUAUACUUUAAUCCACCCAGAAACACUAACCUCCAUUGAAGAAGCUGGAGCUAUGGCAAUGAAACCCAACGGAAAGUCUCCCCUCUCCACCAGAAACUCUGGCUUUGUAUUACUGCAGAUCGGUGCCGGAAUGGUCGUCUACUGGAUCACAAGAUGAGACCUUCAAAUAUUUGGAGCCAGAGCUCGAUGGUGACAACGGAGAUGCCAUGGAAAUAACGGGAUAAUGAAAGUCUUCUUUCAUUUCUUCUCCUGAAACAUUUUCAAAGAAGAAACAACUCUAAAAGCGUAGUUUUUGGAAUUUCAGAUCCUUAAGGUUGAGCGAAGCUCACUGGACAUCCUACUGUGUUCUCAGUGCACCACUGCUUAGUUGAAGUCAAAGUUUUCCCCUAACAUUUUUCCUCUAUUCUUAUAGUGACUGCUAUCAACAUGGGAUUGAGUAACUCUUUUCAAAUAUUCGAUGAUUAUGGCUCUUUCAAGUGAUUUCCCUGGAGUGUAUACAGAAGCUAUUAUAAUAAGAGGCCUAUAAAGAAUAUAAAAGUACAGAACUUAUUGUUGUAUGUCUUUGGGAUGGCUUUUAGUGUUGUUGCUAUAGUGAUCCAGAUUUCGAUGCCAUCGCAAAUAAGUUAAGACAAAACUCAUCUUCUUAUUUCUGUACGUAUUCAGUAACCAAUUCCCUCAAGCUUCAUGUAAAAUAAUUCAAGAAACUGCCACUUAUUUAUAGUGUUGGUAUCAGAGAGCUCAUUAUUAUUGGGUUGCUGCAUUAUUAUCCCCCUAUGUCGCAUCUGCUCAGGUAUUAAAGGGGUCGGUUUAUCAUUUUCAGGAGAUCCUUCCAUGGCUACUCAUUGAUCACAGUUCUGAUGAUUCUUAACCACACUUUCAGUGGCAUUGUCGUGUCAGUGGUGAUGAAAUAUGCAGAGAAUACUGUAAAGGUUUAUUAGACUUCAGUGGCACUGCUUCUCACUGCAGUUGUCUCUGUAUACUUAUUCAAUUUUCAUGUUUCAUUAGCCUUUCUCCUGGGCUCAAGUAAGUUAACCGCAUUUGCCUCUGUCAAUACAAUCAAUCUAACAUUUUCACAUAAAAUCGCAUAACAUACGAACUGAUGUUUACUGUGUUCGCACUUAGCAGGAGAUUGAUAUGGUCUAUUGGAAUCUGUUAAGAUGAAUGUAUAUAUAGUUACAUACACCUUUUUUUGUUCAACUAUUGAUAUAUAAACCAAAACAGAGGAGUUUGCACAUGAGACAGAGAGAGAGAAUCUCUAACCUUAUUGGCCGAAACAUAUUCUACGGACUAUAUCAUCAAAGGUCUGCACUACUACCAGUUAAUUUUGAUGGUUGAGAACACCAGUUUUGAGUUUACAUAAGUUCACGGCCUUUAAAAUGUCUGUUCCAAAUAUCUUGAAGAAUGAAUCAACUUCACUUUCAUAAUUUUAUAUUUGUCAAUUACUUUUCAAAGUAAAUAAAUCAAUCAUAUUUUUGUACAGCACAAUUUAAGCGUGUGAUUUUGGGCAGCGAUCCUGAAUCUCUCAUUGUUGAAUAUACCAACUCAUUCUUUGUAUUUGCGGCUUAAGAUUUUGACUAUAUAAUAAUUGGGCGGAAAAGCAAUUUGAAAGCGUGAACGGAAUGACGUUUUCUCUAGAACAGGAGUCAUGGGUAAACAUGAUUUUCAGUCUGUGAUCAAUUACUAUACAUAAAUAGAAAAUGCCAUUUUCUGUUCUAAAAUGUUUUUUAAUUAGCCCUUUUCCUAAACAUAUAUUUAUAAGCUCUAAAAUGAACUAUAGUCUAGAGUAAUAUUAUACUCAUUCUGUUUCAAUUACUUGGUGUUUUAAGAUUUUUGUUUUAUUUAAUAAUAAAGAUGUUCUCUUUAUUCAAAAUAUUAUAUUUUUUAUUGGUUGAAUUAAUUUUUAAUAAUAUUUUUAUACAAUCAAAAUAAAUUUCAUCUUUAAACGAAAAAGUCUCUGACAUAUCAAUUUUAAAAUGAAUCUACCGGUAUGAAUUUUGAAUGGGUUGAGUCUUAAAUGGAGUGCGUUCAGAUUUAUUGAUUUUUCCAUUUUAACAUUCCUACAUGGAUGGAUGUAAAGAAAAUUGCCAAUAGAUUAUUUUGAUCUGGCAUUAGAGCAUUUCUAACUUCACUCCAUUUUUUUCCAGCAAAAUUAAGUAAAACUAAUUAUGGAUUAAAACACUUUCUAACCUUACUUUAUUUGUUACUCCAAAAUAAAGUUAACUCCAUAGAUAAAGUAAUCUACUUUUGUUUGUUCAUUAUUUUAUUAUGGAGUAAAAAAUAGAGUAGGAUUAUAAUAUUUUAACUCCAUACUCAUUUUUACUACAUUUUAAAAAGAAAAAAAAAGAAAUUUACAUUAAAGAUACUCUUAGAAGUUCGACGACUCAUAUAAAUCUAACACAUAUAUAUAACGCACAUACAUACUUUUAAAAAAAAGGUAAAGCCAAUAUAUAUAUAUAUAUAUGCAUGUUAUAUUAUUAAGGGUUUCAGACAUCAGUAAAUUAAUAAAUUUAGCAAUUAAUAAUAUGAGUUUGUUAUAGUAUAUAUUGUAUUCAGUCUAUAAAAUAUAUAUUUACAUUCAGAUAUAAAUUAUGAAGUAAUCGAAAUUCAAUUAAAAU